rnacentral:rRNA from 1 species
UACGAAGGGGGCUAGCGUUGUUCGGAAUUACUGGGCGUAAAGCGCACGUAGGCGGAUUUGUAAGUCAGGGGUGAAAUCCCGGGGCUCAACCUCGGAACUGCCUUUGAUACUGCAAAUCUCGAGUCCGAUAGAGGUGGGUGGAAUUCCUAGUGUAGAGGUGAAAUUCGUAGAUAUUAGGGAGAACACCGGUGGCGAAGGCGGCCCACUGGAUCGGUACUGACGCUGAGGUGCGAAAGCGUGGGGAGCAAACAGG